GGGAAGGUGGCUCAGUGGUAGAGCGCUUGCCUUCCAUGCAUGAGGGCCUGGGUUUGAUUCCAUCCUCA
rnacentral:tRNA from 1 species